rnacentral:lncRNA from 1 species
UGGUUUUGAAUUCCUGAGCUCAAGUGAUUCUUCUGCCUCAGCCUCCCAAAGUCCUGGGAUUUCUGGUGUGAGUCACCAUGCCUGGCCUAUAGCUAUUUAAAGUUGCCGUACUGGCCAAGUACUGUGGAUGAGGUGGUGAGGCGGGUAGACCAUCUGAGGUCAGGAGUUCGAGACCAGCCUGACCAACAUGGCAAAACUGUGUCUCUACUAAAAAUACACACACACACACAAAUUAGCUGGGCGUGAUGGUGCGUGCCUGUAAUCCCAGCUACUCGGGAGGCUGAGGCAUGUGAAUGUGAACCUGGGAGGCAGAGGUUGCAGUGAGCUGAGAUGGUGCCACUGUACUCCAGCCUGGGAGACAGAGUGAGACUCU